rnacentral:lncRNA from 1 species
CUAUGGUGGCUUAAAUGCUUUACCGGUGAACCACUGUUUACUACUUUACUAUACUGCUUUUAGGGGGGUUGUUAGAGAGACAGAAGUUGCUGUCCAGAUGACAAUGACUCCCUUUUAUCUUUUGUCGGUGCUACGAAAAUGCACUUGACCUUUUUUUGGCUGUUGAAAUGUGUAGGACUGGAAAUCCACCACUAUUAUCAUGUCCAUCUGUAUAUGUCAUGCUUAGAUUUUCAAGAGGCCACUGUUUACUAUACUGUUUUUAGGGGGUUGUCAGAGAAGCAGAAGUUACUGUCUACUCGAUGACAAUGACUUCCUUUUGUGGUUUGUCGGUGCUAGGAAAAUUUACUAGACCUUUUUUUUGGCUGUUGAGAUGUGUAGGCCUGGAAAAUUUACUACUGUUAUCAUGUCCAUGUGUAUAUGUCAUGCUGAGACUAACUUUUCAAGAGGUCACUGUUGUUUGUGCAUGCAAUUAUGGGGGUGAUUAAUCGGAA